CCCCUAGACGUUCUGGGCUGCACGCGCGCUACAAUAAUACGCACAGCGAGCAUCACCGAGCUCGAAAGGGCAAGGUAAACAAUAGAAAAGGUACUGUAAUGGUUAUAGAUCCUUGUAAUUAUUGAUCUUCAACGAGGAAUUCCUAGUAAGUAUGUGUCAUCAUCACGCACUGAUUACGUCCCUGCCCUUUGUACACACCGCCCGUCGCUACUACCGAUUGAACGGUUUAGUGAGGGCCUCGGAUUGGUCUCGGCCCGCUCUUUACCGGGCGGCGCCGUUGGUCGAGAAGACGCUCGAACUUGAUCGUUUAGAGGAAGUAAAAGUCGUAACA
rnacentral:rRNA from 1 species